rnacentral:rRNA from 1 species
CAGUAGCGUAUAUUAAAGUUGUUGCAGUUAAAAUGCUCGUAGUUGAAGUUCGGAUGCAGCAGAGCUUGGAAACGCUGUUAUGGUGCUUCCGUUGCUUUUGCUUGUCCACAGUGCGUUGCAAGUACGUAUGUGCUUGUGCGUGCAUUUUACUUUGAGAAACAUAGGGUGUUCCACGCAUGUUACGGCAUGAAUAUUCCAGCAUGGGAUAAUCUGGUACGACUUCCAAUCUGCCAUUUUGGUUCGUAGGUUGGAAGUAAUGAUUAAUAGGGACUGUCGGGAGCAUUGAUAUUUGACUGUCAGAGGUGAAAUUCUUAGAUUCGUUGAGGACCAACCACUGCGAAAGCAUUUGUCAAGGAUGUCUCCAUUAA